rnacentral:tRNA from 1 species
GGGGCUGUGGCUCCGUGUUGGAGCAUCUGCUUGGCAUGCAGAAGGUGCCGAGUUCAAUUCCCAUCAUCUCCA